UGUGUGUCCUGAAAUGGAGAGAGUGAACUGAAGAAUUUGAACGUCCCAUAAGCCAGAAAUAAGCAAGUGCUUGGUAAUUGGCAACUCAGAUGUGUUAACCAAAACUUCAACAGCCAUCUUGACCUUGAGAAUGGAAGCCACAUGCUGGAAGGCCCUGCCCUUCAUGUCUCUUUCUGCCCAAUUUCCAGUCUUAAGAACUUCAGCUCAGGUACAACAAAAUUCUCUUCUUUAAUAUGUGGCCAUUUCAAGAUAAAUGAGGUUUCCCUCUUAUUAAACUGCUUUUACAAUCGCUCUCUACUUUUGAAUCAGGGACAGGA